rnacentral:pre_miRNA from 1 species
ACAGCAUUCGGAGCGUCGCCGCGUCGGUCUACCGAGCAAUAUCAACCGCUCGGUGAAAGAUCUUCCCUUCGUCAU